GCGAAAGCGAGUUUUAACUGAGCGUUCAGUUACUUGACGUAGACCCGAAACCGGGCGACCUACCCAUGAGCAGGAUGAAGCGAAAGUAAAAUUUCGUGGAGGUCCGAACCCACGAGCGUUGAAAAGCUCGGGGAUGACUUGUGGGUAGCGGUGAAAUUCCAAUCGAGCCCGGAGAUAGCUGGUUCUCCCCGAAAUAGCUUUAGGGCUAGCCUCAAGGUGAGAGAUACGGAGGUAGAGCACUGAAUGUCCUAGGGGGUAUUGCACCUACCGAAGACUAUCAAACUCCGAAUGCCGUCAUCUUAUACUUGGGAGUCAGACUGUGGGUGAUAAGAUUCAUAGUCGAAAGGGCAACAGCCCAGAUCGUCAGCUAAGGUCCCUAAAUGUAAGUUAAGUGGUAAAGGAUGUGGGAUUGCACAGACAACCAGGAUGUUGGCUUAGAAGCAGCCACUCAUUCAAAGAGUGCGUAAUAGCUCACUGGUCGAGUGAUCCUGCGCCGAAGAUUUCCGGGGCUAAAACUUACUACCGAAGCUACGGCAUCAGUAAUGAUGGGUAGGGGAGCUUCCCAUACGGGUUGAAGCAUGACCGUAAGGACAUGUGGACAGUAUGGGAGUGAGAAUGUUGGCAUGAGUAGCGAGAUGUGGGUGAGAAUCCCACAGGCCGUAAACCCAAGGUUUCCAGGGGAAGGUUCGUCCGCCCUGGGUUAGUCGGGACCUAAGCUGAGGCCGAAAGGCGUAGGUGAUGGACAACAGGUUGAUAUUCCUGUACUACCGAUAACCGUUUGAGAGAAGGGAUGACACAGUAGGAUAAGCUAAGCACACUGUUGGUUAUGUGUGCCCAAGCAUUGAGGCAGUCAAAGUAGGCAAAUCCGCUUUGAUAAUGCUGGGAUGUGAUGGGGAGCGAAAUUUAGUAGCGAAGUAGCUGAUUUCACACUGUCAAGAAAAGUCUCUAUCGAGGUUAAAGGUACCCGUACCGCAAACCGACACAGGUGGGUGAGGAGAGUAUCCUAAGGCCAGCGAGAGAACUGUUGUUAAGGAACUCGGCAAAAUGACCCCGUAACUUAGGGAUAAGGGGUGCCACCAUUAGGUGGCCGCAGAGAAUAGGCCCAAGCGACUGUUUACCAAAAACAUAGGUUUCUGCUAAGUCGCAAGACGAUGUAUAGGAGCUGACGCCUGCCCGGUGCUGGAAGGUUAAGGGGAUCUGUUAGAG
rnacentral:rRNA from 1 species